GGCACAUCCCUAUCCACCACUACUAGAAUCAUAACUGUAUUGCACUGUUGCACGCAAAGUUAGCGAAGGAUCCGAGGUGAAAAUAAAAAAUAAAUCAACCGUGGAUAAUAUUUAACAUUAUUAUUUCUACAAGAAAUAGAGCAGACAACGCCAUGGAAAUUAUGGCAUUGAGCUCUGACUUUAUUUGUACACAGAAGAUCCCAAGCAAGGAUAUCAAUCAACUAUCAAUCAAUCACAACAAAGCUCCAUUGUUUCAAGCAGGAAACCAUCCUGAGCAAUAGGUUUCAGGUCAACAAUAGAAUUGUCCCGAAGAAACCCAAAACCAAAUGUCCCAUUCUUGUACUGCCAAAUCCUUCCCUCAAUACACCAAGGAUUUUCAGAAAUUCCUGCCAAGCCUGGGAUGAAUAAAUCAUAACGCGAGUUUACGUACAUAAUGCGAGAGACUACCUCAUUAUCCAUCGGAGGGUAUUGCCAAUUUAUAUCCUUGGAUGUCAUAGGCGGCUGAAGAUGUAUCCGACUAUUGUAUAGAUAUUCUUCUUCAGGUGAAAAUGGAGACUCGAUAAAUGCAGGAUUUGUUGUCCAGAACGCUGGUGUAGGACUAGAAAUCUGUUCACACAAGUCCCCAACCCUUCGGCAAAAGAUGCCAACUCCAUCAUAUGCUACAAGAUAAAAUUCCAAUUUCAUGUCAUCAGAAAUUCCCUUCCAUAAUCCCUGCAAUGGCCGAGCUGGCGAAGGUGAGGAAUCAACAAUCUUCAAGAAAUGCUCUGUUUCCCACUUCUUCCUCCCCUGCUUCUCCUUCUCCCUCUUCUUCUGCCUCCUCCAGGACCUAUCCGCCCCAGGACUCAUUCUAUUCGCAUAAUACUGAUACAUCUCCAAAGUUUCCGGUAAACUCCCUGGAGACCCACUUUCUAGCCCAUUACUCGCAUCACCACCAUACUCUCCUUUCGAAGUCGGCGCACCUGAACUCCUUGAAUAAGCAAGACCCACAUUCUCCUCCACACUAAAAUGUAUAUCCCCAAUAAAAUUAACGUUAACCGGGAUCCAAUCCAUCUCCAGGGAUCCCGAUUCACCAGAUAGCCCAUUGCUAUGUCCAUCGGGAUCGAGAAAAUUUACAGUUUUACCCUCCGGCGAUAUGCCCAUCCAAAGGAACGGCGUUUUGGUUACAUCAUACGUACCUUUUGAAGACGGAGAAAGUCUAUAACCAGAAAGAAAAGAAGGGCCCCACUCGAAGAAAAUUAGCGUAGCAGAUUUCACCCCGGCGGUUUGCUUCUGUUGACUUUGGCCGCACCGGCGCCAGAAACCGAUCAGAUUCUCCCAUUUUUUAAGAGUUUUAUAGAGAAGCUUGUAUGAGAUUUUCCCAUUACCCCAUUUCUUGAUUUGGGUCUUGGACCCCCAUCGCCUAUCGCAGAUUGCAUACCAGAGCUUGCUGCCGUUUUGGCAGAGUCGAGAGAACCGCCUAGACGUGCAAGCGAAAUUGCCAAUCUCGGUUGGGGUUAGGAGGGAGAGGAUAUAGAAUUGGAUGUCCUCGGGGAAAUCAACAAAGGAAUAUGAAUUCAUUUCUGCCAUCUGAAAAGUCCACUGAUUUUCUGGAAAAUGCUGUUUGUUUGAAGGAAGAGAGAGAGAGAAAGAGAG
rnacentral:misc_RNA from 1 species